GAUCCUGUAGCUCAGUUGGUUAGAGCGCCGCCCUGUCACGGCGGAGGUCGCGGGUUCAAGUCCCGUCAGGAUCG
rnacentral:tRNA from 3 species